AGAGGACUGAAAAUCCUCGUGUCACCAGUUCAAAUA
rnacentral:tRNA from 8 species